rnacentral:rRNA from 1 species
AGGGCACCACCAGGAGUGGAGCCUGCGGCUUAAUUUGACUCAACACGGGAAAACUCACCCGGCCCGGACACUGGAAGGAUUGACAGAUUGAGAGCUCUUUCUUGAUUCAGUGGGUGGUGGUGCAUGGCCUUUCUUAGUUGGUGGAGUGAUUUGUCUGGUUAAUUCCGAUAACGAACGAGACUCUAGCCUACUAAAUAGAUCGUCGGCUUACAAACGCCGGCGAGACUUCUUAGAGGGACAGGCGGUGAUUCAACCGCACGAAACAGAGCAAUAACAGGUCUGUGAUGCCCUUAGAUGUCCGGGGCCGCACGCGCGCUACACUGAAGUGAUCAGCGUGCUUUUUCAACCUACUCUGUCAAGAGUGGGGAACCCAAUGAACCUUCUUCGUGAUUGGGAUAGGGGAUUGUAAUUAUUCCCCUUGAACGAGGAAUUCCCAGUAAGCGCGAGUCAUAAGCUCGCGUUGAUUACGUCCCUGCCCUUCGUACACACCGCCCGUCGCUACUACCGAUUGAAUGUUUU